rnacentral:rRNA from 1 species
GACAGAGGGUGCAAACGUUGCUCGGAAUUACUGGGCGUAAAGCGCGUGUAGGUGGAUUGGUGUGUCAGAUGUGAAAGCCCUGGGCUCAACCCAGGAAUUGCACCUGAAACUACCAGUCUUGAGUGGUGGAGAGGGAAGUGGAAUUCCUGGUGUAGAGGUGAAAUUCGUAGAUAUCAGGAGGAACACCAGUGGCGAAGGCGGCGACCUGGGUAGAUACUGACGCUGAGGUGCGAAAGCGUGGGGAGCAAACAGG